rnacentral:rRNA from 1 species
GACGAACGCUGGCGGCGUGCUUAAUACAUGCAAGUCAACGACUUUUAGAGUAGCAAUAUUCUAAAGGAAGUGGCGCACGGGUGAGUAACACGUAGGUAAUCUGCCUUCAGGACUGACACAACUCGUCGAAAGACGGGCUAAUAUCAGAUAAUGCAGCGGCUCCGCAUGGAGACAGUUGUUAAAGUACAAGCGCCUGAAGAUGAGCCUGCGGUCCAUUAGCUAGUUGGUAGAGUAACAGCCUACCAAGGCAACGAUGGAUAGCUGGUCUGAGAGGAUGAUCAGCCACACUGGAACUGAGACACGGUCCAGACUCCUACGGGAGGCAGCAGUAAGGAAUAUUGCUCAAUGGCCGAAAGGCUGAAGCAGCAACGCCGCGUGAAGGAUGAAUGGCCUUUGGCCUGUAAACUUCUAGUAAAAAGGGAAAACAAUCAGGCAUGUCCUGAUUUGAUUGUACCUUUGAAGUAA